rnacentral:rRNA from 1 species
CCCUUAGAUGUUCUGGGCCGCACACGCGCUACACUGAAGGAGGCAGCGUGUACUCCUGGAUCGAAAGAUUUGGGUAACCCGCGAAUCUCCUUCGUGCUAGGGAUUGAGGUUUGCAAUUAUCCUUCAUGAACGAGGAAUUCCCAGUAAGUGCAAGUCAUAAGCUUGCGCUGACUACGUCCCUGCCCUUUGUACACACCGCCCGUCGCUACUACCGAUUGAAUGAUUUAGUGAGGACUUCGGACUGGGACCGAUGCGGCUUUCGGGCUGCGUCGGUAUUCUGGAAAGAUGUCCAAACUGUAUCAUUUAGAGGAAGUAAAANUCAUAACA